CGGUUACGACUUUGGCUACUUAAUCAAAAUCCUAACCAACUCUAACUUGCCUGAAGAAGAACUUGACUUCUUUGAGAUCCUUCGAUUGUUUUUUCCUGUCAUUUAUGAUGUGAAGUACCUCAUGAAGAGCUGCAAAAAUCUCAAAAUGUUCUUUGAAGAUCAUAUUGAUGAUGCCAAAUAUUGUGGUCAUUUGUAUGGCCUUGGUUCUGGUUCAUCCUAUGUACAGAAUGGCACAGGGAAUGCAUAUGAAGAGGAAGCCAACAAGCAGUCAUGACAUGAAAUAGUCCUUUUAUUUUUAUUUCGAGCUACACACAUGCUUGUAUAUAGGUUUUAUCUCUGGUUGAAUCCCUCGAACAAUAGACAGUACCUUUCCCCCCCCUUUCAUGGCCCAUUUUAUUGUCUGCCUUUCAGUACUAAGUAUGACCG
rnacentral:lncRNA from 1 species